CUCUUAAGAGGAGAAAGGUUUGGGCACAAGCUGUUCCCCCAGUGCCUGCUCUGAUAUCUCCUCAG
ensembl:miRNA Mir7086 microRNA 7086